UACGAAGGGGGCUAGCGUUGUUCGGAAUUACUGGGCGUAAAGGGCGCGUAGGCGGUGUGUCAAGUCAGGCGUGAAAGCCCCGGGCUCAACCUGGGAACCGCGCUUGAGACUGGCGCGCUCGAGUUCGGGAGAGGAUGGUGGAAUUCCCAGUGUAGAGGUGAAAUUCGUAGAUAUUGGGAGGAACACCAGUGGCGAAGGCGGCGAUCUGGGCAGAUACUGACGCUGAGGUGCGAAAGCGUGGGGAGCAAACAGG
rnacentral:rRNA from 1 species